UACGUAGGUGGCAAGCGUUGUCCGGAAUUACUGGGUGUAAAGCGCGUGUAGGCGGGAGGCCAAGUCUGCUGUGAAAUCGCUCGGCUCAACUGGGCGAGGUCGGUGGAAACUACCAAGCUGGAGUACGGUAGGGGCAGAGGGAAUUUCCGGUGGAGCGGUGAAAUGCAUUGAGAUCGGAAAGAACACCAACGGGCGAAAGCACUCUGCUGGGCCGACACUGACACUGAGAGGCGAAAGCCAGGGGAGCGAACGGG
rnacentral:rRNA from 1 species